CCCCCCCCCCCCGCUUUUUGAAGAGAGGGGAGCGGGUGGAGGUUGAGCGCAGCGGGGUGGGGGGAAGCCGGCAGCCAGCUCCGGCCCCCUGGUCCCGGUCCCGGUGUCGGAGCGGGAGGCCGCGGCGGCAGGGGGAGGCGGGCCCCGGCGCCGCCCGCCGAGAGGGGGGCCAGCCGCCCCAGACAGGUGAUGGGCGUUUCGGCUGCGCUCCGGAUCGACUCCUUGGGUUUCACUUUGGUCUGAUCUAAGCAAAUAUGCAGAAGUACCGGCUGGUCUAGUCCUAAGAGCCAAGAGGAGCGAGCGAGAGCGGCGGGAAGGAGAGCGGCCGCGCUCCCGUAACGAGGGGAACAUACAAACAGCGGCCGCGCCGCGAUUCAAGCACCGCCGCCCCGAGGCAGCCCCGACCCGCCCUGGAUGCGGAGCACCCCCGAGCCGCCCCGCCGCCUUUCCCCUGAGGGAUGGUACUGAAUCUCUGCGCGGCAGGAGCCGGCCUGCAGCUCCUCUCCAUCAGCGUUGCCUUCCCUCCGUGUCUAAAGUGCACUAGACCGCGAUGAGGACCUGGGCUUGCGUUUUGCUGAUAGGUUUUGGCUACCUGUCCUUUACCUUCUCCGAGGAGGCCGAGAUCCCGCAGGAGCUGAUCGAGCGGCUGGCGCACAGCGAGAUCCACAGCAUCCGCGACUUGCAGCGCCUCCUGGAGAUUGACUCCGUAGGAUAUGAUGAUGUCUCAGAAACAAACUUGAGAUCUUACAGUGUUCAUUCUGCUAAACAUGUGCAAGAGAAUCGUCCUGUGCCCAUUCGCAGAAAAAGAAGCAUUGAGGAAGCUAUCCCAGCUGUCUGCAAAACACGGACGGUUAUAUACGAGAUACCUCGGAGUCAGAUUGAUCCCACCUCUGCCAACUUCCUGAUAUGGCCACCCUGCGUGGAAGUGAAACGUUGCACUGGCUGCUGCAACACCAGCAGCGUGAAAUGCCAGCCCUCGCGGAUACAUCACAGAAGUGUCAAGGUGGCAAAAGUGGAAUAUGUUAGAAAAAAGCCAAAAUUAAAAGAAGUUCUGGUGAGAUUAGAAGAGCAUAUGGAAUGCACCUGUACAUCAUCAAAUACUAAUUCAGAUUAUAGAGAAGAAGAAACUGGAAGGCCUAGGGAAUCAGGUAAAAAACGGAAACGAAAAAAGUUAAAUCCAACAUAAAACCUACUGGAACUAUUUGAUAUUCAGAUUAACAGGUAUUUAUUUGGAGUAGUAUGAUAGAAGCAAAGAUUUUCUAAAAUUCAACUUUAAAAGUGAGCAUGUAAACUCAAUCAAAACAGCAUUUAGAACUUCUUGUCCCAGAUGUAAGGUGAAAAUAAGCUAGGAAAAAAACUUCUCUCUGGGACAUGGAUGUACAUGGUUUGUUACAUUCCUGAACCUACUAUGUAUGGUGCUUAUUGACUGUAUACUUUAUUUGUUCUCCUGUGUGAAAAAACUGGCUCAAAAGAACACUUAAUGAGAACAAAGAGACAAUGUACAUUUGUUUAAUGUGACAUCAAAGCAAGUAUUGUAGCACUCUGUGAAACAAUAGGAAGCUUCCCUGUCCAAAAAAGAAAAAAAAAAGAAAAACAGAAAAGAAAAAGAGACAGUUGAAUGAAUGGAGGAUACCAAAAGUACUCAAAAACAUGACAAAAAUCUAAGUGAAUAGUGGAUUUCUGUCAGAGCAGUCAACGGUGCUUUACGUCAAGAAAUGUGCCUGCGUUCUUGAUGAAGAUGGAUGGACACUGGUGGACUUCAGGCACAAAAAAAGCAGGAAUGUAUGAAAUGAUCAAAUGCCACGCAAACACUAUAGAACAAUACAUCCUUGCUUGGUGGUGUUUUAAAAGUCUAUACAGAAAAAAACCUUCUGGGGAGCCUUAAGUGGAUUUUUUGUUUUUUGUUUUUUUUUUUUCUUUUUUCUUUUUUUUUUUUACACCAUAAAGUGAUUAUUAAGUUUUCUUUUUACUCUUUGCCUAGCUUUUUAUUAUCUCUUGGACUACAUUUGCCAAUAACACGUAUAAAAGACUGGUAUAACAAUAAGCAGAACACAAAACAUUAUGGUAUUUCUCCUAGUGGGAUGCAAACUAAUGAGAUGUAUUAAAAUAAAAAUGGUAUACCUAUGCAUAAUUUUCUAGACGUUUCUUGGUUUAUGUUCCCCAACCUCCCCCGUAAUUUAAAGCAUUACAUAAAAAGAGAAAAAAAAAGAGAAAAAAGAGAGAUGUGCGUAAACAAAUCAUAGGAUAUCCAUGCAAAAAUCCUUCUUUUUUUUCUUUUCCUUUAAGACUUAUGCCAGUUGCCUACUAGUGAUAUUGUGUUAGCAAUUGUCAUUCUUAUCAGUAUACAGAUACUUUUAUUUCACAUGUUGGAGCUGUGUGAAAUGUACAAAUUCUUGUAUCUGCAUUGUAUAAUGUCAUGGUGGCAUGGGAACUACCUUGCUGCAAAUAUUUGAACAAAACCUAAAAUUCUUUAUUUUUGGUAAUAAUGUUAUGCUUUAUGUGUAUUCAACAGAAAUAUGUGUUUUUGUAAAGGUGAAGUUUGUAUUUUUAUCUAAAAAUUAACAGUUUUAUAUACCUGAGAAAGCCUGCUAUGUUUUCUUGAACCAAAAAAAAAAAAAGAAAAAAAGAAAAAAAAAAAGCAUUUUGUGGUCAUAUUUUUGUAGUAGAAUAGCCCAAAUUAUAACAUCAAAAUCUAUUUUAACUAUAGCAGGGCAGAUAAAAUACUCUGGCACCAGCUCCUAUGUUUUCAAAGUGCCAAAGGAUCAAAUGUUCAGUUCCCCAUGGAUUGCAGUGGGAGCCACAUGGCUGAAUCCUUCUGUACUGCUUUGGAAACGUAGGGCUGUGCCAGGUAUGACAUGGCUACUCACUUGGCCAAAAUCACUGCCCCACCCCAGUAGUUUGGAUUAUGUACCCUUUGUUUUAUUUGGACUAUCACAUUGGGUAUGUAAAAUGAACUACUGGAUUCUUUUUAUUUGUGAAACAUCUACAAAGAAAUGAAAGAGUUUUCUUAGUUUGGAACGACAAAAAAGUUUGUCUCAAAGACUGUUUCCACUCUAAUGAAAAAUAUCUUCAAACAUGAAUGAACUGCAGAACCUUAAAACAACAAACGAGAGAUUUUUAACCUUUCAUUUUCUUUAAAUAUAGUUCAAACAUUCCCCUCCUCUUCCUGUAGCUAUGCCCAGUUUCAACCAAACAAAGCAGCGUUGGCUAACGAGUCAUCGGCUUCAGAUGCUAAUGCAGAGAUAGAUUUAGUCACCAUUCUAUUUUGUGAUCAUUUUCCCAGUGUAUUUGUUGAGCACCAAAACUGGAAGUACAUUUAACUAAGACUGUCUGUGCUUGUUUUCCACUAAGUGUACUGUUCACAAUGUUAUGCACAUGAAUGUAUGUGUCUGCGUUUAAAAAAAAAGUGUAUAAAAUGUAAUUUAUAUAUUUAUGUUUCAGUGGGAUGCCAAUAAUGUUGCUCCGUUCCUUUUUUUGUCUAAAAGAUAUCUAAUGAAAAAACCCCAUAUAUCCAUUAAAAUCAUGUAGAUGAAAGGCAUUAUGUGACCCACUCAGACACUGUGCAGGUAUGAAAGGAUGUCAAAAGUCACUUCAGUGGAAUAAUUUGCAAAACAACUUGAGAGUCCUGUGGUUGCACUGGCAUAAGAAGGUUACGUUCAGAUCUGCGGGCCAGCUUCCCUGGAGUAACUCCAUUGAGUAUAAUGGAGCUCUCCUGAUGUACAUCACGAGUGAGUCUGGCCCCACAGUAAAGUCUUGGAAAAAAAGCCAGCUGAGAGGCAUGCAUUUUGUUGGUGCCAGCAAAUAAAUGUGUUAUGCCAAAUUCAGAAAACCAGGAGAGAGUGAAGACUGAAUGGAGUCUUUUCUAGUAGUCAUUUGUUCGAGACUUGUAGUCUCAAGUUAAUUUUGUUACCAGGAACAAAACGCACGAGUCUUUGUUCUCAAGCACAGUGUUUAUACGGUGUGCAGCAGAAACCAAAAAUCUCAGGGCUAUGUUCUCAACUAGUAUAAAUUGGCAAGUAUUUUUGACUUCAGCCGCCCCUAAGCUAAUUUACAUCAGAUGAGGAUCCAGUCCAUAGUUUUUAAAAUACGAGGAGUAGUGUCAUGGCGUGAGCAUCACUUACUGUAGCCCAGCUGGGAUAUAACCUGCCAGCCUUUCAAACAUUACAGGCUAUGGUAUCAGUCCUUCUUCUUCAAAGUGGCAGAUACAACCAGAAGGAAGAGUAAUGUUAAAAUUGUGACACAGGAGACAUUAAUUCAAAGUUAAGUUGGACAUUUCAAAGGCCAUAUCCUCAGCUGGUGUAAAUCACCAUCACUCCAUUGCCUGCAAUGGAGCUGUACCAGCUUACACCACUUGAGGGGCUGGUCCCUCAUUCUUGCUCAUCUCUUUUUGCUACUUGGUCCUGCAGGGAUCUCAGAUUGUUGUGUAUGGUUAAUGUAAUCCUGUGUUCUCUAAUACUUAAGCACAAUAAGUGAAUAUAAGAAUGAGUGUCAGACUUAACUUUGAAUGUCCAAGCUUUGAAAUGGUUUGUUUCACCAUUGUGGCUGUAAAUUAAACAGUUCUCUGUGCA